UGAUUCUUGUGAGAAUCGCUGUAGCUCUCCCCCUCCUCUCUCUCUCUCUAAAACCCUAAACCCUCUCUCUGCGUCUGCGAUUCGCCAUGGACGCGACCGGGAAGCUCGCCGGACGGUGCUGAUCCGUCCAUGGAUUCCGAAUCGCGGCGUCUAGGGUUCGCAAAUCAGGAGGUUUACGAGUAAGCGAAGGGCGACCAGCCGCAGCUCAUCGCUUGCAGGCUUGCAGCAAACCCAAAAGCAACGAUCUUUUCAUCUUCUUCGCUCCUCGCCGCACCUGUUGAGCUCCGUCACGUGUCCGAAAUCCGCCGAAAUGAGCCCCCUUUCGGCGUCCAGGAGAUCCGUCAAGGCCCUCUCCGGCCUCGCCGUUGCCGUUCCGAAGCUCGCCUCGAUCGGAACCGCCGGAGCCCCGCGCACCCACGAUCCCGCUCUACGGAGAUGCGCGGGGCUUCUGCUUCUGCGCUCCUUUCCUUCGUUUUCGUCGUCGUCGUCGAAGUACCCGGAAUACGAAAUGCCCUCCGUGACUUGGGGCGUCGUCCAGGGCCGCAGAGAGAAGCUCGUCUCGCGCGUGAUAGUGUGCGAUUACUUGAAGGGGAUAGGGAUAAUCCCCGACGAAUUGGAGAAUCUAGAGCUGCCCUCGACCGUCGAGGUCAUGAGGGAGCGCGUCGAGUUCUUGCAGAAGUUGGGCUUGACGGUUGAUGAUAUAAAUGAAUACCCUUUGAUGCUUGGUUGUAGUGUGCGUAAGAAUGUGAUACCGGUGUUGGGCUAUCUCGAAAAGAUUGGGAUUCAGAAGUCGAGGCUUGGAGAAUUCGUGAAGAAUUACCCCCAGGUGUUACAUGCCAGUGUGGUGGUUGAGCUAGCUCCGGUUGUGAAGUUCCUCCGAGGGCUUGAUGUGGAGAAACAAGAUAUUGGUUAUGUUCUGCAGAAAUAUCCGGAGCUAUUGGGGUUUAAGCUAGAGGGAACCAUGAGUACUUCGGUUGCUUAUCUUAUCAGCAUCGGAGUUUGUCCUAGAGAUAUCGGUCCAAUGGUUACCCAGUACCCGUAUUUCUUGGGGAUGAGAGUUGGGACGGUGAUCAAGCCACUGGUUGAUUACCUGGUCUCUUUGGGUUUGCUGAAGAAAAUUGUUGCGAGGAUGCUGGAGAAGCGAGCAUAUAUACUUGGCUAUGAUCUUGAAGAGACUGUUAAACCUAAUAUUGAUUGUUUGAUUAGCUUUGGUGUAAGGAGGGAAUCUCUAGCAUCGGUUAUUGCUCAAUACCCACAAAUUCUUGGGCUUCCUUUAAAAGCUAAAUUGUCUUCGCAGCAAUACUUCUUCACUUUAAAGCUCAAGAUUGACCCAGAGGGAUUCGCUGAAGUAGUAGAGAAGAUGCCACAAAUUGUUAGCCUUAACCAGAAUGUGAUCAUGAAACCUGUAGAGUUCCUUUUAGGCCGAGGAAUACCCUCUGAGGAUAUGGCAAAGAUGAUUGUGAAGUGUCCUCAAUUAGUUGCCUUGCGGGUUGAGCUCAUGAAGAACAGUUAUUAUUUCUUCAAGAGCGAUAUGGGGAGACCUUUGAAAGAGCUCGUAGAGUUUCCUGAAUACUUCACCUAUAGCUUGGAAUCUAGGAUCAAGCCUCGGUAUCAGAGAUUACAAAGCAAGGGAAUCAGAUCUUCGCUGAAUUGGUUUCUCAAUUGCAGUGACCAUAGAUUUGAAGAGCGGAUGCAGGCUCAAUAUAUUGAAAGAGAUUUCGAAGGCCCAUCUUUCCGUAUUGGAGGAAAACUAGAGCUACCAGGGGGUCAGAUAGUCUCAGAUGAGGAAGUUGAGAGUGAUGAUGAAGUACUUUACCGGAGAACGGUUUCUCUUUAAAAUCUUGUCUGUUGUGACUAAAAAGAAAGAAUGUCCCUUCUGAGGUCAACCAGGUUACCAUUUAUGAUGAGGUCUUAUGUAAUUUUUUGGGGUUCCUUGAUGCUUCUGUUUCCAAGAAUGACAAGACAUUCUUCAUGGCCUGGUUGUUCAUGGGAUGAUCACGCCAUGAGUAAUAUUGCUAGAGAUGUCACUGGAAGUACGUGCUGAUUUAUGUCUGCUGGAGGAUUUUUUGCUGGAGAUUGGUCCCAGGUUGACUCCGAUGAGCUUUUUAGUUUGGACGUUAGGCAUAAUACGCAUAGCGUGGUUUGAUCAAAGAUACGGUGGGCAACUGUUUUUUUGAAAGGGGAUGGGUCUGGCGGAUGCAGCCGGAGUUCAUAUGGAGGUGACUUUUGUACCAUCAAUACGAGAAGCAAAGAAUGGGCCAUGCAACUCGGCCCAAGCACAUAAAGGAUGAACUUCUGGAUCUACACUUCUGUUUGAAGACAGCGAGCUGCUUUGGUGUGGAUUCCUUGCUGGAUGGAAGAACUCGGUGGUCAUGAUUUUGGCAGCGGCAUGAGUUCAUCAAGAGCUUGAAGUAAUGAUUGUCUUGUCCAUCUUUAUUGGUGGGGACUGUUAGUAGUACUUAUCUGUCAAUCAUUCCGUGGUGUGCUUAACCUAGAUCUUAAGGACGACGAGGUAAAAUGAAUCACUGUAAGAAAAAGCUCCCCGGAAUCUCAGAAUUUCAUUUCACUUGCUCAUAAUAGAACUCGUGACUUGCUUUAUCUAACGGGGGCAAUGUUCAACGGUGCUUCCAAGUAAUUACGUUGUAUAUGUGAAUUUGAGAGUACAUGCAUCACCUUCAGCAA